rnacentral:rRNA from 1 species
AUGAUGAGAAUACUAAUUAAAGGGGAAGAGACUUCCCAACCUCCUCCUAUUAUUUCUUAUGAUGAUUCAGGUAACGAGGAGGAGCUUUCUAUUCAACCAAUCCCAUCAAUAAAGAAGGUUGAACCCACACAUAAUGUGAAGAAGAAAAGGAAGAGAAGGGGCAGCAAAGGUAAAAAGGUAUCCCUUGCAAAUGAUGUUGCUCCUACUACUCAUUGUGAUGAUGAUAAUUGCUAUACUAUUGGUGCUAUUCAUACUAUUGAUGAUGAUUACGCUUAUGAUAUGAAAAGGCCCAAGCUUGGGGAAGCUAUGUUUGAUGAGUAUGAAAUAUUUGAGAAUAUAUUUGCUGAAAUUAAUGAUUGUCCCAAGCUUGGGGAUUCUAUGUUUAAUAAAGAUGAUAUUCUUAGCCUCCCAAGUUUUGAUAUGCAAAGUUGUUAUGAUUAUAGCAUGCCUCCUACUUAUGAUGAUUAUAUUGAUGAAAGUGGGUUUGGAAGAGUGUCAACUUUAGGAAGUAGUGAUCCCACUAUUUUGGAGGAUGUUGAAUCUUAUUGUGAUGAAUAUGAAAGUGGAUUUGGAAGAGUGUCAACUUUAUUUAGUGAUUCCACUAUCUUGGAAGAGGUUUUAAUCGAUUAUGAUGAGAACGAAGUUGCUACUUAUGAUGAUUAUUGUGAUGAAACUUAUGCUAUAAAAAUUAGUGAUGAUUAUAUUUAUAAAACUUGUCAUGAUUAUGAUUACCCUUUUUCUGAACAUUACUCUUUUAAUGUGGAAACAAUUUUUAGUGUUCAAGUCUCUUAUGAUACUCCCACCAUUCCGAAUGAGAAGGAUGUUGCUUAUGUGGAGAGUAGUAAAUUUUCUAUGCCUGUAGAUCAUGAAAAGAAUGCUUUAGGUGCUGGUUAUAUUGUUGAAUUCAUUCAUGAUGCUACUGAAAAUUAUUAUGAGGGAGGAAUAUAUGCUUGUAGGAAUAGCAAUAAUGCCAAGUUUCCUCUCUAUGUGCUUAAAAUUUUGAAGUUAUGCUUGCUUUACCUUCCUAUGCUAAUUGAUUAUUGUUCCCAUAAGUUGUUUGCUCACAAAAUCCCUAUACAUAGGAAGUGGGUUAGACUUAAAUGUGCUAGUCAUAUUCUUCAUGAUGCUCUCUUUAUGUUUCAAUUCUUAUCCUUUAUGUGA